AAAUGUUCAGUGACUUUACUGCAAACACAGUAACUUUUCAGUGUUAAGGAACUUACUGGCAAGAGUUACCAGUAAGGCUGGUGGUGAAGAUGCCUUUUUCAAGAACAAUCACUACAGUGUCACAGUCCUGAGUACAGAUAUAUUGAGAUUACCUGAACCCCACGGUUCCAUCUCAACCUGGACUUUAUUUUUUUUACAGAGUUUGAACUUUCUCAACGGCAGGAAGUCUUGCUGAAAACAUUCUUCUGAAAUUGAUACUUCAAAAUGCAUUGACUUAUUUUCCAAAUGGACUUCAUAUACUCCAAUGCAUUAGAAGUAACUCGAUAAAGAAAAGGUUUUCCUAUAGACACAAAGACAUGUAAACCAUGACAGCACAGUGCUUCCCAAGCAAAGGAAAAAAAAAAGGAAAAAAAAAAAGAGAAAAAACUUUGCAAGAAAUUAAACAGUCUGAACCAUGGAAGUCAGAUGGUUGCUAGAGGAAAGCAUAAGGAAAGUAAGAAAACAAGAGAAUGAAAAUAGAAACUACAGUUCAGUUAAAAAGGAAACUUGAAAUAAAAACUGGAAACAAGGUUUUUAUGAGCUCUUUUUCAAAGAUUUAUCA